GUCCAGACAGACGCAGUUUAAGAUCCUCUCUGACAGUAAAUGAAAAGAUAACCUGGAGAUGAGAAACUCAGGUCUGAGAAACUGAACUGCUGACUCAUGUUGCUGAUGACUCUUCGUCCAACAACAGAUGGAAACAGAGGCAGAGAGCCACAUCAGAGCAUUGGACUGAGCUCCCAAGGUCCAGUUGAAGAGUUGAAGGAAUGAGAAUAUGAGAAAAGAGGUGAAGACCAUGAAGGGUUCAUAAACUGAAUCAGUUUACUUGAGUUAAAGGGAGCUCACUAGCUCCAGAUGGAUUGGGAAGGAACAAGCAUAAUACCAAACUAGUCCCUCUGAAUGUGGUCCACAGUUGUAUGGCUGGGGCAGACUGAGACAUCCCUGGCAGUGGCACUGGGA